CGACGGUAACAGGAAGAAGCUUGCUUCUUUGCUGACGAGUGGCGGACGGGUGAGUAAUGUCUGGGAAACUGCCUGAUGGAGGGGGAUAACUACUGGAAACGGUAGCUAAUACCGCAUAACGUCGCAAGACCAAAGAGGGGGACCUUCGGGCCUCUUGCCAUCGGAUGUGCCCAGAUGGGAUUAGCUAGUAGGUGGGGUAACGGCUCACCUAGGCGACGAUCCCUAGCUGGUCUGAGAGGAUGACCAGCCACACUGGAACUGAGACACGGUCCAGACUCCUACGGGAGGCAGCAGUGGGGAAUAUUGCACAAUGGGCGCAAGCCUGAUGCAGCCAUGCCGCGUGUAUGAAGAAGGCCUUCGGGUUGUAAAGUACUUUCAGCGGGGAGGAAGGGAGUAAAGUUAAUACCUUUGCUCAUUGACGUUACCCGCAGAAGAAGCACCGGCUAACUCCGUGCCAGCAGCCGCGGUAAUACGGAGGGUGCAAGCGUUAAUCGGAAUUACUGGGCGUAAAGCGCACGCAGGCGGUUUGUUAAGUCAGAUGUGAAAUCCCCGGGCUCAACCUGGGAACUGCAUCUGAUACUGGCAAGCUUGAGUCUCGUAGAGGGGGGUAGAAUUCCAGGUGUAGCGGUGAAAUGCGUAGAGAUCUGGAGGAAUACCGGUGGCGAAGGCGGCCCCCUGGACGAAGACU
rnacentral:rRNA from 1 species